CGUGGGAACCUACCAUGAUGUACACAUACUUGAG
rnacentral:rRNA from 2 species